rnacentral:rRNA from 1 species
CUACGGGGGGCUGCAGUCGGGAAUAUUCCACAAUGGGCGAAAGCCUGAUGGAGCGACACCGCGUGCAGGACGACGGCCUUCGGGUUGUAAACUGCUUUUAUAGGCUAGAAAUUUUGAUCAACCUAUGAAUAAGUGGCGGCUAAUCACGUGCCAGAAGCCUCGGUAAAGCGUGAGCCACAAGCGUUAUCCGGAAUUACUGGGCGUAAAGCGUCCGCAGCCGGACUCAAAAGUCAGAUGUUAAAACAUGAGGCUCAACUUCAUGUCCGUAUCUGAAACUCUGAGUCUAGAGCAAGUCAGAGACUAGUGGAAUUCCUGGAGUAGGAGUGGAAUCCGUAGAUACCAGGAGGAACACCAAAAGCGAAGGCAGCUAGUUGGGGCUUUGCUGACGGUCAGGGACGAAAGCGUGGGGAGCGAAAAGGAUUAGAUACCCUCGUAGUC